rnacentral:misc_RNA from 1 species
UGCUUUGCUGUCGUGCGCCGAGAGCACUCGCUUUCAUGCUACUGUGCUCCUCUCCGGAACUACCUCCUUUUAAGGAAUAGAAGAAUUUGACUAGAUCCGUGUUAAUUAAUGAUGAGAUUGAAUAGAGCAAACCCAAAUUUAAUACGGUCUUAUCCAUUGCCCUAAAUAUUGUUUUUCUGAUUAAAAAGAAAAAGAAAUUUUAUUUGG